GCAGGAAGAUCACAGGCAUCAACUUUGCACUGAGAAUAAUUUCUGUCAUCCCAACAAAAACAUGAAUAAUUGCAGAAUCAGCAGACGCCGAGAAACAACAGAGACAUCAAUUCACCUUGCGAGGAGCGCCGGUAUUUGGUUAUAGUGACAGAGGCAAUUUUUGAAGACUUAGCCUGUGUCCAAGAAUUACAAAUUGUGGUCAGAAUAAUAUGCGAACAG